rnacentral:tRNA from 1 species
GCCCUGGUAGCUCAGUUGGUUAGAGUGUUACCUUGGUAAGGUAGAGGUCGGGAGUUCGAUUCUCCCCCAGGGCU